ACCCCGGAAGUGAGGGCACGGGGCGGGCGGGAAGAAACUGCGCGUGGCUGGGCGCGCGGGAGGGGCUAGCGAUGCGCACUUGCGGUGGCUUUUCCGCGCAUGUGCAGAGUGGGCUCCUGUUGCGCGACGCCGGGCAAUGGCUGGAAUGGCGCGGACGACCGUUAGCCGCUGGCGGGCUGUCCGCGUUGCAAUCCUAGGGCUUGACUGGCCGCGUUCUCUGCGGGAAUAGGGAGCCUGGGGGAAUUCCUGCCCAUGUCAGGGCCUCUUUUCUCCUCGCGGGGCGACGGUGAGGAAAAGACGAGGUGAGGGGAUGCCGGUUAAAUCCCUAAUCUGGGAAGCUCCUCUGUGCCGUGGGGCGGCUGCGUCCCUGUGUCGCGACUACUGAGUCCACGGGCACUGGGGCCUGUGCUCCACAAGAGAAGCCACCACCAGGAGAAACCUGUGCACAACAAUGAAGACCCAGUGCAGCCAAAAAGAAAUUUAACCUGUGAUCCACCACGAUUGGACUAGAGAUAGCCCUGUUGCACACGUGUAUUUUCGUGAGAUGAAAAUACACAGCACUUAACCAGAUUCUUAACAGGAUCUCUGAACCAAACAAAUUGUAUCCUUUUUUCUUCUGUUGGCUGCACCAUGGCAUGUGGGAUUUUUAGCUCCCCUACCAGGGACUGAACCCAUGCCCCUGCAGUGAAAGUGCAGUCUUAACCACAGGACCACCAGGGAAGUUCCCAUGUGGUCAAUCUUUAAUGACUGCAUAGGACAAGGUGGUGUGGAUUUACCAGACCUUAGUGAAGCCAAUCUCCGGAGUCUCUUGGGUUGGUUGUGCUUUUAAACCACUGUUAGAAAUUCUAGUGUGUACACAGGUGUUGAGGUCAGAGGGUUUGCACUUUCAAUGCUGAUGUUGCUCAGCUACUCCCCAAAAAGGUUGUAUACCCUUGACCUAUAUCAUACAUUCAUCUCAUAGUGUUUAAAAUGCUGUUUGAGACUGAAAAUUUAAGCAUCACAAAGCCUCCCCCAGGCUUACUUCAGUGGGCCAAAUCAGAAUCCACUUGUCAGGAGAAAGCAGGAGAGAGACAAUUGCUAGAAGUCGAGGCUGCUGCACAGAGAUGAUCUUCAAGGACCCAGAAACAGAACUCUUGAAGUAAACAAGUAAAGUGCACACUCCUUGGUGAGAUGAACUUGCUGAGGGGACUCAUGUAACAAAAAGCCAAGAAUUUAAGACCCAUAUGCAUGCCCAUUUUGGUCCUGCAAAUGUGCUGGGAGGAAUUUAUCCUGGAUCAGAAGCAUGUGCAACAUUGUGCAAUACAAACUUAUCACAUUAAAAUAGUACUUAAGGUGCAGCAAUAGGGCUUGGUUAAUUGUAGCACAUCCUCUAAUACCAUAUAAAGUAGACACAGAACCAGGGGAGAAUAUUUAGUAACACAGGGAAAUGUUACUAAAACGCAGCUUACAAAAUAUUAUGGGCAAUAUGCUAGUUUUGAAGAAAGUACAUAUAUCCUUAGAGGCAACUGCUAUGUCUAGCUUCAUGUGUACUUUUUCAGAGAUAAACUGUUCACAAGCACUUUUGUAUCUAUAUAAAACAAGUUGUUUUCUCUGUCUCCUUCUUUUUGACCUUUGUAUAGGUAAUCUUUUGGCUUUUUUUUUCCCAAACCUAAAAAAUUACAUAUAAACUAUAAAAGUUGUUAUUUUAAAAAGUAGUGGCUGACUGAGGAAAUCUAGGCCCAUGUAGAUCCAUGGUUUCAAUAAAGCCAAAGCUUCGUGUGGCUAUAGCCUCAUCUUCUGCAAUAACUGAACGCUAUGUGGUCAAGCUGAAGCCACGGCAGGAGGAAUGCCUUGUGGGAACUGAGAUCCUUUUGUGUCCUAGACAAUGAGCAUUCCUUGGGCCUGAUUGCCUGUCACCAAACGGACCUCUGGUCACAAAGGAGCUGCCCUGGGGUGACAAAGGAGGAUUCCAGUGUCUGGGAGAGGACAUCUCUGAAGAGGGGCUCCAGUUCUGGUGUCCGAGCAAGGAGGCCAUCCCUGAAGCUGACUCUCUCCCCGAAUCCCAGACUGUGACACCACGCGUGGCCCUGCAGCAGACAGCUGCAAAGCUGCUUGUGUCACCUGGACAUCAGGGCUCCUCCAGGGUCUUCCUGUCGCAGGGGCCCAGGAGAGUGAAAGCAAAGGAUAGAUCUUUGUGUGUGAGGCAAAGGUGACAAAGCCGCUCACUGUACUGAGGCUGUUUCGCAGGGCAGAGGGCCCUGGGCUUGGAGUCUGACACUCGGGUUCCAGCCCUGUUCAGUGGGCCAAGCCUGACUUUCUCUGUUGCCAUUUCCCUCUGUAAAAUGGACUAAUAUCUGCCUCUUGGGGAUAGUUAAAUGAGACAUAUGUAUUAAAAAAUGCAUGAAUAAAAUAUUCUAUGAAUUGAAAGUGCGUGUCAACACACUCCCAUGUGCCCCUCAAAUAACCCUGCACUUUAGCAUUUUCUGCCCCACCUCUAACACAGCACCUUUGUGCUCCUUAGUCACACAUCUAGGAAUUGAGCUGAGUGCUCAGAGGGCAGGAGGCGUAUGUAUCUGUUUCCUGUUUUUGGCACCACCUAAGCACUCAGUAAAUCACUGACCAGAAGGAUGUAGGCAAUUGUUUUAGAAGAAACCUACCUGUCCAUUGCGAUGAAAGGAAAUUCUCUGUUGGCAGUGGUUUCUGAGUGAUAUGGGGGGAAAUGGGAUUGGAGGCAGACUGCAGUAGCUGUGUGAUCCUGGACAAGUUACUUACCCCCUCUGGGCCCGACUUUCACCUGUGGCAAGGCCAAGGGUAACCCUUUGUGGGUUGUGUAUCAGGUACUCAGUGUGAUCUGUUGUUCUUUCACACAGAUGUGCAUAAGCUCAGCUGUUGCAACGUUCUUGGAUUUUCCAUGUUACUCUGUUCAAUAAAGGCAUGUCAUUAACUGUGA